rnacentral:rRNA from 1 species
AAACUUUCAACAACGGAUCUCUUGGUUCUCGCAUCGAUGAAGAGCGCAGCGAAAUGCGGUACCUAGUGUGAAUUGCAGCCAUCGUGAAUCAUCGAGUUCUUGAACGCACAUUGCGCCCGUCGGCAUUCCGGCGGGCAUGCCUGUCUGAGCGUCGUU